rnacentral:rRNA from 1 species
UCAGUCGACUCCUACGGGGAGGCAGCAGUGGGGAAUAUUGCACAAUGGGCGCAAGCCUGAUGCAGCCAUGCCGCGUGUAUGAAGAAGGCCUUCGGGUUGUAAAGGUACUUUCAGUCGUGAGGAAGGCGGCGCGUUAAUAGCGGCGUUGUUUGACGUUAGCGACAGAAGAAGCACCGGCUAACUCCGUGCCAGCAGCCGCGGUAAUACGGAGGGUGCGAGCGUUAAUCGGAAUUACUGGGCGUAAAGCGCAUGCAGGUGGUUUGUUAAGUCAGAUGUGAAAGCCCGGGGCUCAACCUCGGAAUUGCAUUUGAAACUGGCAGACUAGAGUACUGUAGAGGGGGGUAGGAAUUUCAGGUGUAGCGGUGAAAUGCGUAGAGAUCUGAAGGAAUACCGGUGGCGAAGGCGGCCCCCUGGACAGAUACUGACACUCAGAUGCGAAAGCGUGGGGAGCAAACAGGAUUAGAUACCCUGGUAG